CACGUAGGCACCAAGCGUUGUCCGGAUUUAUUGGGCGUAAAGAGCUCGUAGGCGGUUCGGUGAGUCGGGUGUGAAAACUUUGGGCUUAACCCAAAGCGUGCACUCGAUACUGCCGUGACUAGAGUUCGGUAGGGGAGUGGGGAAUUCCUAGUGUAGCGGUGAAAUGCGCAGAUAUUAGGAGGAACACCGGUGGCGAAGGCGCCACUCUGGGCCGAAACUGACGCUGAGGAGCGAAAGCGUGGGUAGCAAACAGG
rnacentral:rRNA from 1 species